UAGGGAAUCUUCCACAAUGGACGCAAGUCUGAUGGAGCAACGCCGCGUGAGUGAAGAAGGUUUUCGGAUCGUAAAGCUCUGUUGUUGGUGAAGAAGGAUAGAGGCAGUAACUGGUCUUUAUUUGACGGUAAUCAACCAGACAGUCACGGCUAACUACGUGCCAGCAGCCGCGGUAAUACGUAGGUGGCAAGCGUUGUCCGGAUUUAUUGGGCGUAAAGCGAGCGCAGGCGGAAUGAUAAGUCUGAUGUGAAAGCCCACGGCUCAACCGUGGAACUGCAUCGGAAACUGUCAUUCUUGAGUGCAGAAGAGGAGAGUGGAAUUCCAUGUGUAGCGGUGGAAUGCGUAGAUAUAUGGAAGAACACCAGUGGCGAAGGCGGCUCUCUGGUCUGCAACUGACGCUGAGGCUCGAAAGCAUGGGUAGCGAACAGG
rnacentral:rRNA from 1 species